AGUGAACGCUGGCGGUAGGCCUAACACAUGCAAGUCGAACGGCAGCACAGUAAGAGCUUGCUCUUACGGGUGGCGAGUGGCGGACGGGUGAGGAAUACAUCGGAAUCUACUUUUUCGUGGGGGAUAACGUAGGGAAACUUACGCUAAUACCGCAUACGACCUACGGGUGGAAGCAGGGGAUCUUCGGACCUUGCGCGAUUGAAUGAGCCGAUGUCGGAUUAGCUAGUUGGCGGGGUAAAGGCCCACCAAGGCGACGAUCCGUAGCUGGUCUGAGAGGAUGACCAGCCACACUGGAACUGAGACACGGUCCAGACUCCUACGGGAGGCAGCAGUGGGGAAUAUUGGACAAUGGGCGCAAGCCUGAUCCAGCCAUACCGCGUGGGUGAAGAAGGCCUUCGGGUUGUAAAGCCCUUUUGUUGGGAAAGAAAAGCAGCAGGUUAAUACCCCGCUGUUCUGACGGUACCCAAAGAAUAAGCACCGGCUAACUUCGUG
rnacentral:rRNA from 1 species